GCGGAGAUGCCGGAGUGGCCAAACGGACCAGGUUUAGGCCCUGGUGGCUUAGUGCCUCCGCAGGUUCGAAUCCUGCUCUCCGCA
rnacentral:tRNA from 1 species